GACGAACGCUGGCGGCGUGCUUAACACAUGCAAGUCGAACGAAGUGGCGAACGGGUGAGUAACGCGUAAUCAACCUGCCCUUCAGGGGGGGACAACAGUUGGAACCGACUGCUCAUCCCUCAUACUGAAGGAGGUGAUUGCGUCUGAUUAGCUAGUUGGGGGGGUAACGGCCCACCAAGGCGAGGAUCAGUAGCCGGGCUGAGAGGAUGAACGGGCACAUUGGGACGGAGACACGGCCCAGAAUCCUACGGGAGGCAGCAGUGGGGAAUCUUCCGCAAUGGACGAAAGUCUGACGGAGCAACGCCGCGUGAGUGAUGACGGCCGUCGGGUUGUAAAGCUCUGUUAAUCGGGACGCGGUACCGGAAUAGAAAGCCACGGCUAACUACGUGCCAGCAGCCGCGGUAAUAC
rnacentral:rRNA from 1 species